GACCAGGGUCCGUUACUAUACAAUACUAACCCUACAGUACCAAGAGACAGAGGUUCCUAGUGGACCAGGGUCCGUUACUAUACAAUACUAACCCUACAGUACCAAGAGACAGAGGUUCCUAGUGGACCAGGGUCAGUUACUAUACAAUACUAACCCUACAGCACCAAGAGACAGAGGUUCCUAGUGGACCAGGGUCAGUUACUAUACAAUACUAACCCAAACAGUGUUUCCCCUAUAUUACUUUAGCCGUGGCGGCCCAAAUA